CGAACGCUGGCGGCGUGCUUAACACAUGCAAGUCGAACGGAAAGGCUCCAGCUUGCUGGAGUACUCGAGUGGCGAACGGGUGAGUAACACGUGGGUAAUCUGCCCUGCACUCUGGGAUAAGCCUGGGAAACUGGGUCUAAUACUGGAUAUGACCUUUCUCCUUAUGGGGUUUGGUGGAAAGUUUUUCGGUGUAGGAUGAGCCCGCGGCCUAUCAGCUUGUUGGUGGGGUGAUGGCCUACCAAGGCGACGACGGGUAGCCGGCCUGAGAGGGUGAUCGGCCACAUUGGGACUGAGAUACGGCCCAGACUCCUACGGGAGGCAGAAGUGGGGAAUAUUGCACAAUGGGCGGAAGCCUGAUGCAGCGACGCCGCGUGAGGGAUGACGGCCUUCGGGUUGUAAACCUCUUUCAGCAGGGACGAAGCGUAAGUGACGGUACCUGCAGAAGAAGCACGGGCUAACUAUGUG
rnacentral:rRNA from 1 species